GCCUUCGGGAACUGUGAGACAGGUGCUGCAUGGCUGUCGUCAGCUCGUGUUGUGAAAUGUUGGGUUAAGUCCCGCAACGAGCGCAACCCUUAUCCUUUGUUGCCAGCGGUUCGGCCGGGAACUCAAAGGAGACUGCCAGUGAUAAACUGGAGGAAGGUGGGGAUGACGUCAAGUCAUCAUGGCCCUUACGACCAGGGCUACACACGUGCUACAAUGGCAUAUA
rnacentral:rRNA from 1 species